UGUUUGGUAUGGCUCACUAAAUGGGACUGUGCUAUAUUAGACCUGAAGCCCAUGUUUGGUUAGCAAGAGGACUAAUGUAAAUGGGAUAGUAGAGCCCAACAGUAAAAAAAACGCCUCACUCGUUCUCCUUAUACAGAGAAGCUCAAAAUGAGUUCGCAAAAUAAGCCUUCGCUAUAGAACACGCCUCUCUCCAGUUCACUUCUUCUCUGCGACUCCACUCCACCUCUCCUGCGUUCAACAUCGACUCAUCUUCUUCGAAUCUUGACGCAAGUACUAAUAUUGGUCUUGUUGGAUCUUCCUGGACUGCUGUUCUUCUCUACGUACACACUUCUUGUUCUCUUCUGGGCAGAGAUAUAUCACCAGGUUUAACAGUGAGUGCAGCACAUGCUCAUUUUGGAGAAGCCACAAAACAUCUCUAUAUUCAUGUCUUUGGAUGAUGAUAUCAAGAAAGUGUUUGUUGAGCAGUUGCUUAGUGACAAUGCUUGAGGACAUGGCCUAGCUAAGUUUGAUGCAUCUAUCUUUUUGGAAACACCACAAAUGAUGCAUUGAUAAGAUUGGCUUCAUUUUGGAAACACCACAAAUUGUAUAACAUUUUGCUAGCAUUAAAGCCAUAUGGUUCAUGGUUGUGGGGUUUAUUAGUUUCAUUUUGAAAUUGUGGAUGUUUAUUUGUAUGUAUUAAUGGUAGAAUUGUGUGUAGCGAACUAAACCUCUAAUUUCUGAGUCAUGUAGAUGACUUUGGCAUAUAUGAAAAUUUCUAACUUUUGCACA